GCAAUUAGUGUUAUCAAAGGCACUAGGCGCCAAAGGUUCGAAAUGCCUAUAAUUCUAGGUGCUUGCUUGAGUGAAGUGAGGUGUUCACCAAUAUAAAAAUUAUAAAAUAAUAUAAUUAAGGGGAAAGACAAUCAUUAAGGUAAAAAUAAGAUAAUCCAUGAGUAUCAUAUAAUUUUAUAUUUAAAAUAUCACCACUAAAACAUUGAAUGACAUUCAUUUCAUCAUCUAAGAAGCAUUAAAGUACUAAAUCAUCCAAAUCUAAUAACAAAAAUAAUAAAACAAAAGAAGAAUGAACACAGUUCAAAAUUCAGAGUCCUAAAACUAGAGUGACAAUUAAUAUUCUAAUUAAUACAAUUUCUAAACUAUUAUUAACAAGAAUUAACAUUAUUCUGCAAAGGAGGAGUAGGGUCUGAGAACAAGAGGAGGUUGGUGGAAAGUAUAAGGCAGGGGAGGGGGUUGUGGGCAAUCGAAUGCAGGGAUAAGGGCUCUCAGCAGGGGAGGCAUGGAGGUUGACAGUAGCAAGUGGUAGGGGCUAACAGCGAUAGGGAGCGGAUGGAGGAGGGGGUUGCCAAGAAAAAGAGAGAGGUAGUGACUGUCGAAAGAAAGAGAGAGGUGGAGAUGACUGGCUAGAGAAAGAGAGAAG
rnacentral:lncRNA from 1 species